UUUCCGUAGGUGAACCCGCGGAAGGAUCAUUAUUGUAUAACCGAGGUGCGAGGGCUGUCGCUGACCCGAAAGGUCGUGCACGCCCAAGUGCCCUCACACACAUCCAUCUCACCCCUAUGUGCACCACCGCGUGGGUCCCCCUUUGGCUUGUUCGGAGGGGGGCUUACGUUUUCACACAAACUUUGUAUGCAGUGUAGAAUGUAUUUUUUGUUUUUGCGAUCACGCAAUCAAUACAACUUUCAACAACGGAUCUCUUGGCUCUC
rnacentral:misc_RNA from 1 species